rnacentral:lncRNA from 1 species
CCAGGGAUGUGCCCAACCAGGGUAUCAUGUGCCAUUGAGGGGAUAGCAUUAGCUUCAAAACAGAGGAGCCAGCAGAAAAAAACAGAACAGUCAGAGAAGUUGAAGAAGACCUGAGGAUUUGUUUCCUGGAAUCUCAGAAAGGCAAGAAGGUGAUUAAUGAAGCUGCAAGGUGCAGACAAAUCAACCAGAAGUGAUCUGCUAAGACUUUGAUAUUGAAUCCUAGGACUUCCUGGGCCCAAAGGAACCUAUAUCCCUUCAUUACAUUUUUUCUACAGAAUGAGGCAUGUACCCAGGUGAGUACAGCCCCUUGAAUAGAACUAGUCACAUGGACAACCAAAUGGCAAGAAGGCAGGAAAAUGUGAAAAGAACAAAAAUAUUGAGUGACAGAUAUCUCUACUGCAAUUCCCAAAAGAGUCCUGGGUCUUGCAGGGGAUGCUGAGUCACCCCGCUGCAGGAGGGCAGGUCUGUGCACGCCCUGCUGAGGUCCUGGGUUGCACAGAACACACCGAGUCACCCCACUGCAGACAGGCAGCCACCUGGUUCCACACUACAAAGACGCAGAGGACACCAGACCACCAGACCAAGGUACUGAGUCCCGCUGCUCCCGGCCCAGAGGUAGGGGCUUCUGAGCUGCCAUCCCACUGCUCCUGGUCCAGAGGAAGGGGCUUCCCGGUCACCAUCCCUCCUGCUGCUCCCAGCCCAGAGGAAAGGGCUUUUAGGCCACCUUCUGUCCUGCUGCUCCUGGCCCAGAGGAAGGGGCUUCCAGGCCACCAACCCUCCCACUGCUCCCAGCCCAGAGGUAGGGACUUCUGAGCCGCCAUCCCACUGCUCCUGGUCCAGAGGAAGGGGCUUCCCAGCCACCAUCCCUCUCGCUGCUCCCAGCCCACAGGAAAGGGCUUUUGGGUCGCCAUCCCUACUGCUGCUCCCAGCCCCUGUCCCACCUCUCCCAGCUCAGAGGACGUAAUCCAUGCAGGCGGCAACAGCCCCCCCCCCCAGUAAAAAUGAGAAAACAUGUAAAUAAGUCUCAAAACCAGACUUCCAGAUCACCUGCAGCAACCCCAAAGGGAAAUGAGAUGGAACACUCUGAUACUCAGCCACCUGAACCCACUGAACUGGCAACAAAAGGGGAUCUGGAAAAAAUGAAAUCAGAAAUAAUUUCUCAGAUAACAGGAGAAAGUGUGCCCCUAGUGCAAGACAUGAUUAAUAAAUCUAGAGAGGAGCUGAGGAACAUGAUGGAAUCCCAACAUAAGAAACAAAUGGAAUCCAUAAAACAGAUGCAAAUAGAUUUCCAGGACAUGAAAAACUCCAUUGAAAGUCUACACAGCAGAAUGAGCCAAUGUGAGGACAGAAUUUCAGAUAUAGAAGAUAAGAUUGCAAUUAAUGACCAGGAAAAGAAAAAUUGCUUCAAAAUUAUAAGGG